GUGAGGAAUUUUCCGCAAUGGGCGAAAGCCUGACGGAGCAAUGCCGCGUGAAGGAUGAAGGCCUAUGGGUUGUAAACUUCUUUUCUCAGAACAGAAUUAUGACGGUAUCUGAGGAAUAAGCAUCGGCUAACUCUGUGCCAGCAGCCGCGGUAAGACAGAGGCUGCAAGCGUUAUCCGGAAUGAUUGGGCGUAAAGCGUCUGUAGGUUGUUUAAAAAGUAUUCUGUCAAAGAUUAGGGCUUAGCCCUAGAUAGGCAGAAUAAACUUUUAAGCUAGAGUUUGGUAGAGGCAGAGGGAAUUCCCGGUGGAGCGGUGAAAUGCGUAGAUAUCGGGAGGAACACCAAAGGCGAAGGCACUCUGCUGGGCCAAUACUAACACUGAGAGACGAAAGCGAGGGGAGCAAAUGGGAUUAGAAACCCCAGUAGUCC
rnacentral:rRNA from 1 species